GUGCUCACUUCGGCAGCACAUGUACUAAAAUUGGAACGAUACAGAGAUGAGCAUGGCCCCUGUGCAAGGAUGACACGCAAAUUUGUGAAGCGUUCCAUAUUAAA
ensembl:snRNA U6 U6 spliceosomal RNA